rnacentral:rRNA from 1 species
CCAGCAGCCGCGGUAAAACGUAGGAGGCGAGCGUUAUCCGGAUUUACUGGGUGUAAAGCGCGUGCAGGCGGUGGGUUAAGUUGGGUGUGAAAGCUCCUGGCUCAACUGGGAGAGGUCGCUCAAAACUGGCCGACUGGAGAAUGGUAGGGGAAGGUGGAAUUCCGGGUGUAGUGGUGAAAUGCGUAGAUAUCCGGAGGAACACCAGUGGCGAAAGCGGCCUUCUGGACCAUAUCUGACGCUCAGACGCGAAAGCUAGGGGAGCAAACGGGAUUAGAGACCCCGGUAGUCCUAGCCGUAAACGAUGUGAACUUGGCGCCGGGCGGGUAAAACCGUUCCGUGCCGCAGCCAACGCGAUAAGUUCACCACCUGGGGACUACGGCCGCAAGGUUAAAACUCAAAGAAAUUGACGGC